rfam:Gilliamella sp. N-G2 NODE_33, whole genome shotgun sequence.
GCACUAGCAAAAUCUAGUGUCAGGAUUGAGACCCUGAAUUAUUCAACGGCGACACAUGACGCCCUAAGCGUCUUUUUU